UACAGAGGUCUCAAGCGUUUGUUCGGAUUCAUUGGGCGUAAAGGGUGCGUAGGUGGCGUCGUAAGUCGGGUGUGAAAUUUCGGAGCUUAACUCCGAAACUGCAUUCGAUACUGCGGUGCUUGAGGACUGGAGAGGAGACUGGAAUUUACGGUGUAGCAGUGAAAUGCGUAGAGAUCGUAAGGAAGACCAGUGGCGAAGGCGGGUCUCUGGACAGUUCCUGACACUGAGACACGAAGGCCAGGGGAGCAAACAGG
rnacentral:rRNA from 1 species